UUCGUAUUAGCGACUUGGAAACAUGUCUCUUAUGUUAGAAUUUGCUCAAAUUAUGCAUUUGUAAACAAUAAACUCAUGUUUGGACUUAGUGGACAAAAAUGCCAUAAAGAGGCACUUGACAUAGUAAACUGUGAAACUGCAACAUAGAGACAUAGUGAUAGGCCAUUGAACAUCUGCUAUAUUCCAUGUUAGAGACAUGAUGACAUAGAGAUAGGCCUUUGAGACAUUCGACGUAUAUUCCAUAUUUUUAGACAUGAGGACUUGGUACUUGAGACAGAUCUUUCGCUUGCUUGCCAUUGUGCUCAUUCGCACAUGCUUGUAAGGGUCGCUCCUACAAGCAGGCACUCCGAAGAUAGCCAUCGUGACAUAUGCUCGCUCGUGUGGGAUUGGGCGCCGAAAUGGGAUGCCGUGGGGGAGGCUCAUUCCUAGAGUGGGGAUGUUGACUACCACGGGGCCAUUAGGCACGGCGCAGGCCGGACUACCCACGGGUAGGUCCUACAGGAUUGGAUCAUUGAUGACUUAGCAUACCGACUGGACAUUGACUAGAAUAGUAAACAAGACAUUUUACUAUUUAGCUUGUGGACAUCAUGCUAGUGAUAUCUUGGUACAUUCAUGUUAAGAAUAGUCUUUUAUUACUUAUGCAACUUCAUGCUAAAUAGAGAUAUCAUGUUGUAGUAAGUUUACACGUUUACUUACAUAUCGAUUCUGUUCCUUUUAUUGUUACUUACCUGUUUAGCUCUUUUGGGCCUAGUGGUGCUUUCACUGAAGUCAAUAAUUGCCCACUGGGAACUAUUAUUUAAUAGUUUUCACGCCCAUGUUUCUAUGUUUCCUUUUCAGAGCCCUCUGUACCGGCGGAGGCACGGGAUCGCGGCAAGGGGAUCGCUAGCUAGAUAGCGAGGAUUUAUUGUUGCUUAGGUGGUUUUCUCUCUUUUUGUUGUUGUUGAGAGAGAGUGAGGUUUUGUAUCCAUGUAUAGAGACCACCUAUGUAUUUACUUAUAGCACUUGUUUCGGGAUUCUUCUUGUACUACUUUAUGUUUUCAUCUAGUUGAUUUUAGUUUUAUGGUUCUUUUUCUCUACUGUAGCAUCUAGAUAUAUUUGCUCUGAUACUCUUAGAUGUUCUCUUUUUACUGCUUCAUUUAUCGUUUUGUUUUAGACACCUUAUAUGUUUUAGACAUAUGGCGGGUCUGAACACGCGCCGGGCGGGCUUCCGCUUGGUCCCGGGGCAUGACAGUCUGGAACUGGAGGAGGGAGGAAGUGGUUCCACGGCGGCGGGGCAUGACGGCUGGUGGCGGGUGCGGCUUUCAAGUGGUGCGACAUAACUGCUAAACGAUUGAAGAAGAUAAUAGUGUAAAGUUUCUCAUAAAAGCUCACGUCCUUCUUUCAACUGUAUAAUAAGUGUAACACAUUGAGCUUUAGCAACUUGUAAGGUUUGAGUGUUUGAUCUGUGUUCUGAGUUUUUCCAGGUAUUCUGGAGGGUCGUUGACAGUUUUUCGACCUAUGACUCACAUCCCGAGGAGCGAGGGUGAAAACUUAGCGCCAAAAUCUCCAAAAUGAGAAAUUUGGGCUGCUCUCGGGUUGACUUUGCAGGGCAGAGUAACGGUACCGCAUCGGCUUGGUACCGGUACUGGACCUGGUACCGGUACUGCAUCGCGAUGGUACCGGUAUGCAGUGCGAUGUCUCGCCAACCCGAGGCUCAGGUUGCGCAUGCUGCUGCCUGGUACCGGUACCAAAUCUCGUGUCAUCGGUACGUAGUGCAGUAUGCAGACUGCUUGUUCCUGAAGGGUAUUUUUGCAAUUGUAGCUACUCUACAAAUACCUUACGGCCCCUCUUGUGUUCCCUGAGCUUGGAGAAAGAGGAGAACUAGGUAGGGAAGCCCUCCUCACCUUCUCUUUGAUUUUCUUUCCAUUUUGUUGGGAUUUUUGAGGAUUAAUCACCUUUUUUUGCUUCUCUUUGUUUGUUGGUGGCAUUUCCACCAUGGGAGAAGCUUUGGAGCUUGGAUUGGAGCUUGUUGAAGGAGAGGUCUUCAGUCCUAACUCAUUUCAAGUUUAGUUUGGAGCUUCUAAAGAGGUUAGUAAUAUGUUUCUCUCAUUUGGAUCAUGUUUUUGGAGGAUUUUGUGUAGAAACCCUAGAAAUGAGAAAUCUAGGAUUUAUUUGGAAAUUUUUGAUUUGUAGCUUUUGGAGCUCAAUUGAUUGGUUUAGAACCUUCCUUUAGGUUGGUUUUGGAGUGCUCUAACUUCCAUUUAGGAUUUGAGAAGGUUUUUUUCACCAUUCUAGGUUAGUUUUGCCAUUUUCUUAGGUUGGUUAAAGAUGAACGCGUGGGUGGGGUGUUCGUUCAUUUCGUUUAACCUUCUUAGAAUUUUUUCUAGAGAGCUAGGAGACUUGGGGACAUCUUCGUUGGCGCGAACGAAGGGGAUCCGAGGAGUUCUUGGUGGGUUUGACCUCACCGAAAUGGGUGAACUCUCCCUAUGUUAUACUCUAUAUUGUAAAAUAAAAACUUAUGCAUAUUCGUGUUAGAUAGAGCAUAAAUGAAUUUUAGAAGGCUUUAAAUGCAUAUGUUAUGUAUCAUGUUCUUUCAUCCCUAUGUAGUAGUGAGAUAUGUUUAUAGUACUCAUGCUAGUGUGUGGCAUUUUCAUGAUAUGUUAGAAAUUAUGUUAUAUGUAGUGAAAUGACAAGCUUUUACUUGUUUGAGAACAACGAACAUGUGCUAAACAUAGAGAUUAUAUAAUGUAAUAAAGUGGCAUUGAACUUGGAAUAGAUGUUGACAUAAUAAACCAUAAUAUCAUAAAGUGGCAUUAGACUUAGUAAACAGUGGAACCUUUACAUUUGGACAAGAACUAGACCUUUGGGUUGCUAGUGUGUAUACUAUGCUUGAGAUGAUGACUAUACAUGCUUGCCAUUUGUGCUCAUUCGCACAUGCUUGUGAGGAUCGCUCCUUACAAGCCG
rnacentral:lncRNA from 1 species